AUGGAGAUGGUGGAGAAGCUUUCUCUCACCACAAGACCACAUCCACAUCCUUACUACAUCCAAUGGUUCAACAACAGCGGCAAGGUUAAGGUAACACGUACUGUUCGUGUGCAUUUUAGUAUCUCUACAUAUGCUGAUUAUGUUGAUUGUGAUGUGGUACCUAUGCAAGCAUGUUCCUUAUUACUUGGUAGACCAUGGCAAUUUGAUAAAAAUUCUGUACACCAUGGUAGAAACAAUCACUAUACUCUUGUUCAUAAGGAUAAAAAUAUUACUUUGCUUCCUAUGACUCCUGAUUCCAUUUUGAAAGAUGAUAUUAAUAGAGCUAAUAAAGCAAAACAGGAGACGAAUAAGAGUGAAAAUCAGAUUGUGGCAAAAGAAUUUGAGCAACAAAUGAAGCCUAAUAAUAAACCAUCUAGUGUUGCUUCUGAAAUUAAAUUGAAAAGUGCAUGUUUAUUUGCCACCAAAUCUGAUAUUGAUGAGCAAGAUUUCAGCAAAUCUGUUUGUUAUGCUUUUGUGUGCAAAGAGGCAUUAUUUUCAAUCGAGGACGUGCCUUCCUCUUUGCCUCCUGCUGUCACUAACAUUUUGCAGGAGUUCGCUGACGUCUUUCCACAAGACGUGCCACCGGGAUUACCGCCUAUUCGAGGGAUUGAGCAUCAGAUUGACUUAAUUCCCGGUGCUUCAUUGCCAAACCGUGCACCAUACCAUACCAAUCCAGAGGAGACGAAGGAGAUUAUGCGUCAAGUACAAGAGCUUCUCGACAAAGGUUAUAUACGCGAAUCCCUUAGUCCUUGUGCUGUUCCUAUUAUUCUAGUGCCGAAAAAGGAUGGUACAUCACGUAUGUGUGUUGAUUGUAGAGGCAUUAAUAAUAUUACUAUUCGUUAUCGUCAUCCUAUUCCUAGGCUAGAUGAUAUGCUUGAUGAAUUGAGUGGCUCUACAAUAUUCUCCAAAGUUGAUUUGCGUAGUGGAUACCAUCAAAUUCGUAUGAAAUUGGGAGAUGAAUGGAAAACAGCAUUCAAAACUAAGUUUGGAUUAUAUGAGUGGUUAGUCAUGCCUUUUGGGUUAACUAAUGCACCUAGUACUUUCAUGAGAUUAAUGAACGAAGUUUUACGUGCUUUCAUUGGACGAUUUGUGGUAGUUUACUUUGAUGACAUAUUGAUUUAUAGCAGAUCUUUGGAAGAACAUUUGGAACAUUUACGUGCUGUUUUUAUUGCUCUACGUGAUGCACGUUUGUUUGGUAACCAUGGGAAGUGCACCUUUUGCACCAACCGAGUAUCUUUUCUUGGCUAUGUUGUUACUCCACAGGGAAUUGAAGUUGAUAAAGCCAAGAUUGAAGCUAUUGAGAGUUGGCCGCAACCCAAAACGGUCACACAAGUGAGGAGUUUUCUUGGCCUCGCUGGAUUCUAUAGGCGUUUUGUGAGAGAUUUCAGCACCAUUGCUGCACCUCUCAAUGAGCUUACAAAGAAAGAUGUGCCUUUUCUUUGGGGUACCGCACAGGAAGAAGCCUUCUCGGUAUUGAAAGAUAAGUUGACACAUGCUCCUUUACUCCAACUUCCCGAUUUUAAUAAGACUUUUGAGCUUGAAUGUGAUGCUAGCGGAAUUGGAUUAGGCGGUGUGUUAUUACAAGAUGGCAAACCUGUUGCAUACUUUUCUGAAAAAUUGAGUGGGCCUAGUCUGAAUUAUUCUACUUAUGAUAAAGAAUUAUAUGCUCUUGUUCGGACUUUAGAAACAUGGCAACAUUAUUUAUGGCCCAAAGAAUUUGUUAUACAUUCUGAUCAUGAAUCUUUGAAACAUAUUAAAAGUCAAGCUAAACUGAAUCGUAGACAUGCUAAAUGGGUUGAAUUCAUUGAGACUUUUCCUUAUGUCAUUAAACACAAGAAGGGAAAAGAAAAUGUUAUUGCUGAUGCAUUGUCUCGCCGCUAUACUAUGCUUUCACAACUUGACUUCAAAAUAUUUGGUUUGAAGACCAUCAAAGAUCAAUAUGUGCAUGAUGCUAAUUUUAAAGAUGUAAUGCAGAAUUGUAAAGAAGGAAGAAUGUGGAACAAGUUCGUCGUUAACGAUGGAUUUGUGUUUCGUGCUAACAAGUAUGCAUUCCAGCUAGCUCCGUUCGUCUUUUGUUGUUGCAGGAGGCGCAUGGAGGAGGAUUAA
rnacentral:rRNA from 1 species